CCAAGCGCAGAAGCGUGCAUGGGGAAUGCUUAGGCGUCGAGAGCCGAAGAAAGACGUGGCAUAGCUGCGAUAAGCCUCGGGGAGCCGCUCAGCAGGCAUUGAUCCGGGGAUUUCUUAGAUGCGGAAACGUCACGGAGGUAGUGCUCCGUGAGCCCGCGGUGAAUCCAUAGCCGCGUGGCGGGGAACGGAGGGAACUGAAACAUCUCAGUACCUCCAGGAAAGGAAAGAGAACUCGACUCCCUGAGUAGUGGCGAGCGAAAGGGGACCAGCCCAAACCGGCGCCGUGCCAAGGAUGUGGCCGUUGCGGCGCGGGAGUUGCGGGACCUGCAGGCGGAGCCACAAAUCCGCCAGGAAGUUACCAAUCUUGCUGCUAGCCGAAGGCUCUGGAAAGGGCCGCCGGAGAGAGUGACAGCCUCGUAGGCGAAAGCAUCAAGACUUCCGCAGGUAUCCCAAGUAACACGGGUCCCGAGAAAGCCCGUGUGAAUCUGCGGGGACCAUCCCGUAAGGCUAAGUACUUCUCGACGACCGAUAGCGACGAGUAGCGCGAGCGAAAAGUGAAAAGAUCCCCGGUGAGGGGAGUGAAAAGUACCUGAAACCAUGCACGUACAAGCUGUAGGAGGCCUAUGCCCCGCAAGGGGAAUGGCUGACUGCGUGCCUUUUGCAUAAUGAUUCGACGACUCACGGUACAGGGCAAGGUUAAGCGCCUCCGGCGCGUAGCCGCAGCGAAAGCGAGUGCGAACAGCGCGUCCAGUCAUGUGCCGUGGACCCGAAAGCAAGUGAUCUAACCAUGGGCAGGGUGAAGCGGAACUAACCUUCCGUGGAGGCCCGAACCUAUGUGGGUUGAAAACCGCUGGGAUGACUUGUGGUUAGGAGCAAAAAACUAAUCGAACUUGCAGAUAGCUGGUUCUCCCCGAAAUACCUUUUGGGGUAGCGUCAGGUCAAUAGCGCGCGGGGGUAGAGAGACUGAAUGCGAAUGGGGGCCCACCAGGCUACCCACCGCAACCAAACUCCGAAUACCGUGCGCCUUACCCUGGCAGUGAGUCCGUGGGGGCUAAGCUUCAUGGACGAGAGGGAAACAACCCAGACCGCCAGCUAAGGUCCCCAAGUCUGGCUGAGUGUGCACAAGGAGCUGGGAUUGCUGAGACAGCCGGGAUGUUGGCUUAGAAGCAGCCAUCAUUUAAAGAGUGCGUAACAGCUCACCGGUCGAGCAGUCCUGGGCCACAAAUGAACGGGACUAAGCCAGACACCGAAGCUGCGGAUUCCGGUGCCAUGCGGCGCCGGAGUGGUAGGGGAGCGUUGGUUGCGCCAUGAAGCCGUACGGAAACGAGCGGUGGAGCGGCAACCAAGUGCUUCUGUCGAAAUGAGUAGCGAGAAAGGAAGUGAGAAUCUUCCUCGCCGUAAACCUAAGGUUUCCUGGGGAAGGGAAAUCCGCCCAGGGUUAGUCGGAACCUAAGGCAAGGCCGAAAGGCGUAGCCGAUGGACGACGGGUCAAAAUUCCCGUACCACCAAUGAGCGUUUGACCGAUGGAGUGACGGAGUCACAAAGAUCGUCGCGGCGACAGUUGUCCGCGUGCAAACCCGAGGGGUGCUGCAGGAAAAUCCGCAGCGCAAAGCCCCGGAGGCGAUGCCGAAGCCUUGAGCUGAAGCGAUCGGCGUGACUUCCUGGAAAACCUUCUAGGGAGCUCAAAGGUGUCCGUACCAAAACUGACACAGGUUGGUGAGGUGAGCAUCCUAAGGCGCUCGAGAUAACCUUUGCCAAGGAACUCGACAAAAUGGCCCCGUAAGUUCGCGAUAAGGGGCGCCGCUGCCAGUGAUGGGAUUUACUCUCCGAGCUGGCGGUGGCCGCAGGAAUCGGGAGUGGGGACUGUUUACCUAAAACACAGGACUCUGCUAAGCCGUAAAAGGCGAAGUAUAGGGUCCGACGCUUGCCCAAUGCCGGAAGGUUAAGAGGAGGGGUUAGCCGCAAGGCAAAGCUCUGAAUUGAAGCCCCGGUGAAUGGCGGCCGUAACUAUGACGGUCCUAAGGUAGCGAAGUUCCUUGUCGGGUAAGUUCCGACGCGCAUGAAUAGCGUAACCACUGCUCCAUUGUCUCGGCAAAGGUCUCGGCGAAAUUGCAGCCGAGGUGAAGAUACCUCGUACCCGCACUAAGACGGAAAGACCCCGUGAACCUUUACUACAGCCUGGUAUUGGGCACUGAUGCCACAUGUGUAGGAUAGGUGGGAGACUGUGAGGCGGGUGCGCCAGCACUCGCGGAGUCGUCGGUGAAAUACCACCCUUGUUGCAUUAGUGUUCUAACUCGGCACCGUGAAUCCGGGCCGAGGAAAGUGCCAGGUGGGUAGUUUGGCUGGGGCGGCCUCCUCCUAAAAAGUAACGGAGGAGCCCGAAGGCACCCUCAGAGUGGUUGGCAAUCACUCGAAGAGCGUAAGGGUACAAGGGUGCUUAACUGUGAGACCCAAUUCGUCAAGCAGGUGUGAAAGCAGGGCCUAGUGAUCCGGCGGAUUCCGAGUGGAAGGGCCGUCGCUCAUCAGACAAAAGGUACUCCGGGGAUAACAGGCUGAUCUCCCCCAAGAGUCCACAUCGACGGGGAGGUUUGGCACCUCGAUGUCGGCUCAUCGCAUCCUGGGGCUGGAGAAGGUCCCAAGGGUUCGGCUGUUCGCCGAUUAAAGCGGUACGUGAGCUGGGUUCAGACCGUCGUGAGACAGGUCGGUCCCUAUCUAGUGUGGGUGUUGGACGCUUGAGGAGCCUUCUCCCUAGUACGAGAGGACUGGGAGGAACGAGCCUCUGGUGCACCAGUUGUCACGCUCGUGGCAUAGCUGGAUAGCUACGCUCGGACAUGGAUAAACGCUGAAAGCAUCUAAGCGUGAAGCCUACUCCAAGACUUGGCGUCCCCAUCAGGGCCCAGGGAGACUACCUGGUUGAUAGGCAGUAGCUGUAAGCACGGCGACGUGUUGAGGCGAACUGUACUAAUCGCCCGAUCGGCUUGGUUUCCCCCU
rnacentral:rRNA from 1 species